UGAGGAAUAUUGGUCAAUGGGCGGGAGCCUGAACCAGCCAAGUCGCGUGAGGGAAGACGGUCUUACGGAUUGUAAACCUCUUUUGCCGGGGAGCAAAGGGCGCCACGCGUGGCGUUUCGAGAGUACCCGGAGAAAAAGCAUCGGCUAACUCCGUGCCAGCAGCCGCGGUAAUACGGAGGAUGCGAGCGUUAUCCGGAUUUAUUGGGUUUAAAGGGUGCGUAGGCGGGCCGGUAAGUCAGCGGUAAAAUAGCGGGGCUCAACCCCGUCGAGCCGUUGAAACUGCCGGUCUUGAGUGGGCGAGAAGUGCGCGGAAUGCGUGGUGUAGCGGUGAAAUGCAUAGAUAUCACGCAGAACCCCGAUUGCGAAGGCAGCGCACCGGCGCCCUACUGACGCUGAAGCACGAAAGCGUGGGGAUCGAACAGGAUUAGAUACC
rnacentral:rRNA from 1 species